GGUGGUAUAGCUGAGUGGUAAAGUGCAUGCCCAGCAAGCACGAGGUCCUGGGUUCAAUCCCCAGCACCUCCA
rfam:Camelus ferus unplaced genomic scaffold scaffold239, whole genome shotgun sequence.